UACAGAGGUGUCAAACGUUGUCCGGAAUUAUUGGGCGUAAAGAGCUCGUAGGCGGUUUGUCGCGUCUGCUGUGAAAACCUAAGGCUCAACCUUGGGCUUGCAGUCGAUACGGGCAGGCUAGAGUUCGGUAGGGGAGACUGGAAUUCCUGGUGUAGCGGUGAAAUGCGCAGAUAUCAGGAGGAACACCGGUGGCGAAGGCGGGUCUCUGGGCCGAUACUGACGCUGAGGAGCGAAAGCGUGGGGAGCGAACAGG
rnacentral:rRNA from 1 species